GAAAGCCUUCUGGGUCAAUAAAGUAUGUCACAUAAAUAAUAAACUAGAGACAAUCAACAUUGACAACUCCUUCCAAAAUAGGUUCUGUGCAAAAACUAACCUAAAAUCUUGACUGCAUUUAGACAAUUUUUGGUCCAUAACAGGCCGGAAAACUAUUCUACGUAGUAACCUAGUUCGGAAAUUGUAACUUAUAAAAACUAAAAUGGAACUUCACUUCAAGAAGUUAGUUUCAUUUUUCAAGCAUCGGCGAUUAAGAACGCAUGUUUAGACAUGUUAUGAGCCUUUGGUUGGGAACGGUCCUUAUCGAAAACUUGCCCACGACCUUUCUGGGGAUGACGGUUUUUUGACCGGGCUCACUGAAAGCGCCCUCAAUACCUACGAUAAUAACGACCCCAACUAUUAAAUUG